rnacentral:lncRNA from 1 species
AAUUGGAAAUGAAGAAAUCCCCAAACUUGAGCUCCAAUUCAAGUUCCUCACACCUAAAUUUAAAAAUUUCUACUACAAGUUAAAACCUUAGAAUUUUAACAUAAAUCAUAUUUUACCACUCGAAAACAAUUGGAAAAAUUAAACCCAAACUUGAAGAUAUUAAGCUUACAUCGCGUCCUCUUCUUCCCCUUUCUUCCUUCUUUUUCUUUUUCCUUAGUUUCUCCCUUCUUUCUCGGCUUCUCCAGCUUCUGCCCGUUUAUUUUGUGUGUGUGAGUGUGUGAAUUUGAGAUAAAAUGAGUCAAAGGUUGAAUUUAAUGGUCCACAUACCCAAAUUUGCAAAAUAAGUCUUUCAACUCCAUUUUUG